rnacentral:rRNA from 1 species
CCUACGGGAGGCAGCAGUAAGGAAUAUUGGACAAUGCUCGCAAGAGUGAUCCAGCCAUGCCGCGUGCAGGAAGAAUGCCCUAUGGGUAGUAAACUGCUUUUGAACUAGAGAAAACCCCAGUACGUGUACUGGGCUGAUAGUAUAGUUAGAAUAAGCAUCGGCUAACUUCGUGCCAGCAGCCGCGGUAAGACGAAGGAUGCAAGCGUUAUCCGGAUUCAUUGGGUUUAAAGGGAGCGUAGGUGGACUGAUAAGUCAGUGGUGAAAUCUCCGAGCUUAACUCGGAAAUUGCCAUUGAUACUGUUGGUCUUGAGUACAGUUGCUGUGGGCGGAAUAUGACAUGUAGUGGUGAAAUACAUAGAGAUGUCAUAGAACACCGAUUGCGAAGGCAGCUCACAAAGCUGUAACUGACACUGAGGCUCGAAAGUGCGGGGAUCAAACAGGAUUAGACUACCCUGGUAGUCCGCACCGUAACGAUGAUUACUCGCUGCUAGGGGGCACCUUUAGUGGCUUAGNGAGAGAAGUAGUAUUACACGUGGAGUUAGCGCGACGAGAGUUAAGUUAGAGUUAGAGCGNGAGAGNGCGACGGACGACGACGAGGAGGAG